AGAGCGAACGCUGGCGGCAGGCUUAACACAUGCAAGUCGAGCGGGCGUAGCAAUACGUCAGCGGCAGACGGGUGAGUAACGCGUGGGAACGUACCUUUUGGUUCGGAACAACCCAGGGAAACUUGGGCUAAUACCGGAUAAGCCCUUACGGGGAAAGAUUUAUCGCCGAAAGAUCGGCCCGCGUCUGAUUAGCUAGUUGGUGGGGUAAUGGCCCACCAAGGCGACGAUCAGUAGCUGGUCUGAGAGGAUGAUCAGCCACAUUGGGACUGAGACACGGCCCAAACUCCUACGGGAGGCAGCAGUGGGGGAAUAUUGGACAAUGGGCGCAAGCCUGAUCCAGCCAUGCCGCGUGAGUGAUGAAGGCCCUAGGGUUGUAAAGCUCUUUGUGCGGGAGAUAAUGACGGUACCGCAAGAAUAAGCCCCGGCUAACUUCGCGCCAAGCAGCCGC
rnacentral:rRNA from 1 species